AUACGGAGGAUCCGAGCGUUAUCCGGAUUUAUUGGGUUUAAAGGGAGCGUAGGUGGAUUGUUAAGUCAGUUGUGAAAGUUUGCGGCUCAACCGUAAAAUUGCAGUUGAAACUGGCAGUCUUGAGUACAGUAGAGGUGGGCGGAAUUCGUGGUGUAGCGGUGAAAUGCUUAGAUAUCACGAAGAACUCCGAUUGCGAAGGCAGCUCACUAGACUGUUACUGACACUGAUGCUCGAAAGUGUGGGUAUCAAACAGGAUUAGAUACCCUGGUAGUCCACACAGUAAACGAUGAAUACUCGCUGUUUGCGAUAUACAGUAAGCGGCCAGGCGAAAGCAUUAAGUAUUCCACCUGGGAGUACGCCGGCAACGGUGAAACUCAAAGGAAUUGACGGGG
rnacentral:rRNA from 1 species